GCUGUCCAUCUUCUAAAGGAAGCUCUUUUGGCCAAACCGGUAUAUUAUCGAUCGAUGUAUCCUAUUGAAAGGUAAAGAAGUUAUACAUAUUUUGUCAUAUCAAUUAUAAGAUGUAAAUAUAUUUUUAAAAUUUAAAUUUAUUUUUAUUUAUAGAUUCUUGUGCACCUUAAAAAAGUAUGUGCGCAAUAAAGCAAGACCUGAAGAGUCUAUAAUAGCUACCGAGUAUCUCAUAUUCUGCUUGAUGUAUCUUGAUGAUAUUGAAAUAAGAUUCAAUCGUGUAGAUUGUAAUACAGACCAUGAAUGAAGUGACAAUGAACCGA
rnacentral:lncRNA from 1 species